rnacentral:rRNA from 1 species
UACGUAGGGGGCAAGCGUUGUCCGGAAUCAUUGGGCGUAAAGCGCGUGUAGGCGGUCCGGUAAGUCCGCUGUGAAAGUCGGGGGCUCAACCCUCGAAUGCCGGUGGAUACUGUCGGGCUAGAGUACGGAAGAGGCGAGUGGAAUUCCUGGUGUAGCGGUGAAAUGCGCAGAUAUCAGGAGGAACACCAAUUGCGAAGGCAGCUCGCUGGAACGUAACUGACGCUGAGACGCGAAAGCGUGGGGAGCAAACAGG